rnacentral:rRNA from 1 species
CCUACGGGAGGCAGCAGUAGGGAAUCUUUCACAAUGGGCGAAAGCCUGAUGGAGCAACGCCGCGUGCAGGAUGAAGGCCUUCGGGUUGUAAACUGCUUUUAUAAGCGAGAAAUAUGAUGGUAACUUAUGAAUAAGGAUCGGCUAACUACGUGCCAGCAGCCGCGGUCAUACGUAGGAUCCGAGCAUUAUCCGGAGUGACUGGGUGUAAAGAGUUGCGUAGGUGGCAUAAUAAGUAGCUAGUGAAAUCUGGUGGCUCAACCAUUCAGACUAUUAGCUAAACUGUUAAGCUCGAGACCGUUAGGGGUAACUGGAAUUUCUAGUGUAGUGGUGAAAUCCGUAGAUAUUAGCAGGAACACCAAUAGCGUAGGCAGGUUGCUGGGACGGUUCUGACACUAAGGCACGAAAGCGUAGGGAGCAAACGGGAUUAGAUACCCGAGUAGUC